rnacentral:rRNA from 1 species
GUGCCAGCAGCCGCGGUAAUACGUAGGUGGCAAGCGUUGUCCGGAUUUAUUGGGCGUAAAGCGAGCGCAGGCGGUUUUUUAAGUCUGAUGUGAAAGCCUUCGGCUCAACCGAAGAAGUGCAUCGGAAACUGGGAAACUUGAGUGCAGAAGAGGACAGUGGAACUCCAUGUGUAGCGGUGAAAUGCGUAGAUAUAUGGAAGAACACCAGUGGCGAAGGCGGCUGUCUGGUCUGUAACUGACGCUGAGGCUCGAAAGUAUGGGUAGCAAACAGGAUUAGAUACCCUGGUAGUCCAUACCGUAAACGAUGAAUGCUAAGUGUUGGAGGGUUUCCGCCCUUCAGUGCUGCAGCUAACGCAUUAAGCAUUCCGCCUGGGGAGUACGGCCGCAAGGCUGAAACUCAAAGGAAUUGACGGGGGCCCGCACAAGCGGUGGAGCAUGUGGUUUAAUUCGAUGCAACGCGAAGAACCUUACCUGGUCUUGACAUCCACGGAAGUUUUCAGAGAUGAGGAUGUGCCUUCGGGAACCGUGAGACAGGUGCUGCAUGGCUGUCGUCAGCUCGUGUUGUGAAAUGUUGGGUUAAGUCCCGCAACGAGCGCAACCCUUAUCCUUUGUUGCCAGCGGUCCGGCCGGGAACUCAAAGGAGACUGCCAGUGAUAAACUGGAGGAAGGUGGGGAUGACGUCAAAUCAUCAUGCCCCUUAUGACCUGGGCUACACACGUGCUACAAUGGAUGGUACAACGAGUUGCGAACUCGCGAGAGCAAGCGGACCUCAUAAAGUGCGUCGUAGUCCGGAUUGGAGUCUGCACUCGACUCCAUGAAGUCGGAAUCGCUAGUAAUCGUGGAUCAGAAUGCCACGGUGAAUACGUUCCCGGGCCUUGUACACACCGCCCGU